CAAUGGCCGGUACAAUGCGAAGCGAAGCAGCGAUGUGAAGCAAAUCGCACCAAAGCCGGUCCCAGUUCGGAUAAGAGGCUGAAACUCGCCUCUUUGAAGUCGGAAUCGCUAGUAAUCGCAGAUCAGCAUGUUGCGGUGAAUACGUUUCCUGGUCUUGUACACACCGCCCGUCAAACCAUGAGAGUCGCCAACACCCGAAGUCCGCUUUGCGGCCUAAGGUGGGGGAGAUGAUUGGGGUUAAGUCGUAACAAGGUACC
rnacentral:rRNA from 1 species